GAGUCCAUUGCCCAAUGGAUAAGGCGCUGGUCUACGAAACCAGAGACUCUGGGUUCGAUCCCCAGUGGAGUCG
rnacentral:tRNA from 1 species